GACAGAGGCCCCGAGCGUUAGGCGGAAUCACUGGGCUUAAAGCGUGUGUAGGCGGGCCCGUAAGUGUCUUGUGAAAUCCCACGGCUCAACCGUGGAACUGCUGGGCAUACUGCGGGUCUUGGGCCAACUAGGGGCAGCCGGAACAAGCGGUGGAGCGGUGAAAUGCGUAGAUAUCGUUUGGAACGCCAAUGGUGAAAACAGCUCGCUGGGGGUGUGCUGACACUGAGACACGAAAGCCAGGGGAGCAAACGGG
rnacentral:rRNA from 1 species